UUUUAGACUAUGUUAGGAGCUCUCUGAGAGUGUUCUCAGAAUGUGCCUGAGGACAGAGUUGUUUUUACUCUGAACUGUUUCUGGACGUCAAAAUGAAGCUGCUCUUGGUUGCUGUUCUCAUCUUCAACAGUUCCACCUUCUGUGUAAAAAUCACCCAGCCUCCAUUUAUAUUUAGCCGUGAAGGAGACUCGGCUGUGACUCUGCAGUGUGAACAAGAUGAUGAUCAAUAUUACAACAUGUACUGGUACAUACAGAGCGGCGGUGCUAACAUGCAGCUGGUAACAUAUUCAACUAGUAAAGAUACUGCUAGCACUGAAGCUCCUUUCAACAAGUCAAGCUACACCAUGUUCCGGCCUGAAAUGCUUCAGUCGUCUCUGCAGAUCAAGUCUAUGGAGGCUGGAGACUCAGCUGUGUAUUACUGCGCCUCCAGUAGAGCACAGUGAUUCAGAAAGCCUCAGCAGCUUAACAACAACAUCAGGACACCAAGGAGAGAUGACAGAGAGGAGGGAUGAGUGAGGAGGGUUAAUGUGUUGAGCUCUGAGGGGCCCUGAGCAGGACUUUGCUGACAUGACAACAGGCUGACAUCAAUAUUACAUGAAAAUAUAAAAUAAAACUUGUU